CAAAAAGUAACUUAAUAAAAGUACUUGACUUACAACCAAGAUAUGCCAGAACAACUGGCCUUUUUGC
rnacentral:tRNA from 1 species